rnacentral:rRNA from 1 species
CGGCGGACGGGUGAGUAACACGUGGGUAACCUGCCCAUAAGACUGGGAUAACUCCGGGAAACCGGGGCUAAUACCGGAUAACAUUUUGAACUGCAUGGUUCGAAAUUGAAAGGCGGCUUCGGCUGUCACUUAUGGAUGGACCCGCGUCGCAUUAGCUAGUUGGUGAGGUAACGGCUCACCAAGGCAACGAUGCGUAGCCGACCUGAGAGGGUGAUCGGCCACACUGGGACUGAGACACGGCCCAGACUCCUACGGGAGGCAGCAGUAGGGAAUCUUCCGCAAUGGACGAAAGUCUGACGGAGCAACGCCGCGUGAGUGAUGAAGGCUUUCGGGUCGUAAAACUCUGUUGUUAGGGAAGAACAAGUGCUAGUUGAAUAAGCUGGCACCUUGACGGUACCUAACCAGAAAGCCACGGCUAACUACGUGCCAGCAGCCGCGGUAAUACGUAGGUGGCAAGCGUUAUCCGGAAUUAUUGGGCGUAAAGCGCGCGCAGGUGGUUUCUUAAGUCUGAUGUGAAAGCCCACGGCUCAACCGUGGAGGGUCAUUGGAAACUGGGAGACUURAGUGCAGAAGAGGAAAGUGGAAUUCCAUGUGUAGCGGUGAAAUGCGUAGAGAUAUGGAGGAACACCAGUGGCGAAGGCGACUUUCUGGUCUGUAACUGACACUGAGGCGCGAAAGCGUGGGGAGCAAACAGGAUUAGAUACCC